GCGAACGGGUGAGUAAUACAUCGGGACAUGCCCAGUCGUGGGGGAUAACACUUCGAAAGAAGUGCUAAUACCGCAUACGUCCUGAGGGAGAAAGCGGGGGAUCGCAAGACCUCGCGCGAUUGGAGUGGCCGAUGUCAGAUUAGCUAGUUGGUGGGGUAAAGGCCUACCAAGGCAACGAUCUGUAGCUGGUCUGAGAGGAUGAUCAGCCACACUGGGACUGAGACACGGCCCAGACUCCUACGGGAGGCAGCAGUGGGGAAUUUUGGACAAUGGGGGCAACCCUGAUCCAGCCAUUCCGCGUGAGUGAAGAAGGCCUUCGGGUUGUAAAGCUCUUUCGGCAGGAACGAAACGGCGAGCUCUAACAUAGCUCGCUAAUGACGGUACCUGAAGAAGAAGCACCGGCUA
rnacentral:rRNA from 1 species